rnacentral:lncRNA from 1 species
UGGUGCAAAAAUGUCCUCCGUCUACUUAUUGGGCCUGAAAUGCCCUUGAUGUCUACCUAUUAGUCUACUUUGCCCUUUAUUUUAACAGAUUAAUUUAACCUCAAUUCAUUAAUGACGUGACUUCUUCUAAUUAGCCAACUAAUAAUUAAUUAAAUUAAUUAAUAACCCAAACCCAUUAAAUCUGACCCACAACCCAUCCAAACCUAAUAAUCCGACCCGUUAAUACGCCAAACCUAAUAAUCUGACCCACUCCAUCCAACCCUUAUAAUAACGUUAAAAAAAAAUAAAUAAAAAAAAAAACUCAAAUCAGGCAACUCUUUUCUUCAAUUUUUCUCUUUUUCUUCUGCGCCUUUUCGCAAUGAAAGUACAGCAACUUUGAGUAAAAAGAGCCUCAUCUCUUCAAAUGGGCUAAAAGAAUUCUCAAGAUCGAAGAAUGCACCAGUCAAGGUAUGCAAAAUUAAUAUACACUGAUUAUAGGAAGUCUUCCAUUUUUGUUGUGUGCUUAGCAUUUGAUUAGUUAAAUCAAGGU